rnacentral:rRNA from 1 species
UCGUGACCCCAAGUCAGGCGGGAUUACCCGCUAAGUUUAAGCAUAUCAAUAAGCGGAGGA